rnacentral:rRNA from 1 species
ACUACGGGUGGCAGCAGUGGGGAAUAGUGCACAAUGGGGGAAACCCUGAUGCAGCGACGCCGCGUGAGCGAGGAAGUAUUUCUGUAUGUAAAGCUCUAUCAGCAGGGACGAAAAAAGACGGUACCUGACUAAGAAGCACCGGCUAACUAAGUGCCAGCAGCCGCGGUAAGACGUAGGGGGCAAGCGUUAUCCGGAUUUACUGGGUGUAAGGGGAGCGUAGACGGCAAGGCAAGCCAGAAGUGAAAGGGCAGGGCUCAACCCUGUACAUGGUUUUGGAACUGUGGUGCUAGAGUGCAGGAGAGGUAAGUGGCAUUCCUAGUGUCGCGGUGAAAUGCGUAGAUAUUAGGAGGAACCCCAGUGGCGAAGGCGGCUUACUGGACUGUAACUGACGUUGAGGCUCGAAAGCGUGGGUAGCAAACAGGAUUAGAUACCCGAGUAGUC